UACGAAGGGGGCUAGCGUUGUUCGGAAUUACUGGGCGUAAAGCGCGCGCAGGCGGUCUUCCAAGUCAGUGGUGAAAGCCCGGAGCUCAACUCCAGAACUGCCUUUGAUACUGAAGAUCUUGAGUUCGGGAGAGGUGAGUGGAACUGCGAGUGUAGAGGUGAAAUUCGUAGAUAUUCGCAAGAACACCAGUGGCGAAGGCGGCUCACUGGCCCGAUACUGACGCUGAGGCACGAAAGCGUGGGGAGCAAACAGG
rnacentral:rRNA from 1 species